rnacentral:rRNA from 1 species
AGUGAACGCUGGCGGUAGGCCUAACACAUGCAAGUCGAACGGCAGCACAGGAGAGCUUGCUCUCUGGGUGGCGAGUGGCGGACGGGUGAGGAAUACAUCGGAAUCUACUCGGUCGUGGGGGAUAACGUAGGGAAACUUACGCUAAUACCGCAUACGAACUACGGGUGAACGCAGGGGACCUUCGGGCCUGGCGCGAUUGAAUGGGCCGAUGUCGGAUUGGCUAGUUGGCGGGGUAAAGGCCCACCAAGGCGACGAUCCGUAGCUGGUCGUGAGAGGAUGAUCAGCCACGCUGGAACUGAGACACGGUCCAGACUCCUACGGGAGGCAGCAGUGGGGAAUAUUGGACAAUGGGCGCAAGCCUGAUCCAGCCAUACCGCGUGGGUGAAGGAGGCCUUCGGGUUGUAAAGCCCUUUUGUUGGGAAAGAAAUCCAGCUGGCUAAUACCCGGUUGGGAUGACGGUACCCAAAGAAUAAGCACCGGCUAACUUCGUGCCAGCCGCCGCAGUAA